rnacentral:rRNA from 1 species
UACGUAGGGUGCAAGCGUUAAUCGGAAUUACUGGGCGUAAAGCGUGCGCAGGCGGUUUUGUAAGUCUGAUGUGAAAUCCCCGGGCUCAACCAUAGAAUUGCGAUGGAGACUGCAAGGCUUGAAUCUGGCAGAGGGGGGUAGAAUUCCACGUGUAGCAGUGAAAUGCGUAGAGAUGUGGAGGAACACCGAUGGCGAAGGCAGCCCCCUGGGUCAAGAUUGACGCUCAUGCACGAAAGCGUGGGGAGCAAACAGG